rfam:Gossypium raimondii Chr02_contig_69, whole genome shotgun sequence.
UGUUAAAAAAUUCAUCUAUUUCUAUUGUUAAAAACUAGCAUAACUAACUUCAAAUAAUUACAUGUGGCAUGCCAUGUGUACCUCAUUCUAGCAUAUAGAGACCAAUUUUGACAUUAGAAAUGGAUAAAUUUUUUAAUA